GGAACGCUAAUACCGCAUACGUCCUACGGGAGAAAGCAGGGGACCUUCGGGCCUUGCGCUAUCAGAUGAGCCUAGGUCGGAUUAGCUAGUUGGUGAGGUAAUGGCUCACCAAGGCGACGAUCCGUAACUGGUCUGAGAGGAUGAUCAGUCACACUGGAACUGAGACACGGUCCAGACUCCUACGGGAGGCAGCAGUGGGGAAUAUUGGACAAUGGGCGAAAGCCUGAUCCAGCCAUGCCGCGUGUGUGAAGAAGGUCUUCGGAUUGUAAAGCACUUUAAGUUGGGAGGAAGGGUAGUUAGUUAAUACCUUGCUGUUUUGACGUUAUCGACAGAAUAAGCACCGGCUAACUCUGUGCCAGCAGCCGCGGUAAUACAGAGGGUGCAAGCGGUUAAUCGGAAUUACUGGGCGUAAAGCGCGCGUAGGUGGUUCGUUAAGUUGGAUGUGAAAGCCCCGGGCUCAACCUGGGAACUGCAUCCAAACUGGCGAGCUAGAGUACGGUAGAGGGUGGUGGAAUUUCCUGUGUAGCGGUGAAAUGCGUAGAUAUAGGAAGGAACACCAGUGGCGAAAGCGACCACCUGGACUGAUACUGACACUGAGGUGCG
rnacentral:rRNA from 1 species